rnacentral:rRNA from 1 species
GAUGAACGCUGGCGGCGUGCCUAAUACAUGCAAGUCGAGCGAACAGAUGAGGAGCUUGCUCCUCUGACGUUAGCGGCGGACGGGUGAGUAACACGUGGAUAACCUACCUAUAAGACUGGGAUAACUUCGGGAAACCGGAGCUAAUACCGGAUAAUAUAUUGAACCGCAUGGUUCAAUAGUGAAAGACGGUCUUGCUGUCACUUAUAGAUGGAUCCGCGCCGCAUUAGCUAGUUGGUAAGGUAACGGCUUACCAAGGCAACGAUGCGUAGCCGACCUGAGAGGGUGAUCGGCCACACUGGAACUGAGACACGGUCCAGACUCCUACGGGAGGCAGCAGUAGGGAAUCUGCCGCAAUGGGCGAAAGCCUGACGGAGCAACGCCGCGUGAGUGAUGAAGGUCUUCGGAUCGUAAAACUCUGUUAUUAGGGAAGAACAAAUGUGUAAGUAACUAUGCACGUCUUGACGGUACCUAAUCAGAAAGCCACGGCUAACUACGUG